AGAUUGAACGCUGGCGGCAUGCUUUACACAUGCAAGUCGAACGGCAGCACGGGGGCAACCCUGGUGGCGAGUGGCGAACGGGUGAGUAAUAUAUCGGAACGUACCCGGAAAUGGGGGAUAACGUAGCGAAAGUUACGCUAAUACCGCAUAUGCCCUGAGGGGGAAAGCGGGGGAUUCGUAAGAGCCUCGCGUUUUCGGAGCGGCCGAUAUCGGAUUAGCUAGUAGGUGAGGUAAAGGCUCACCUAGGCGACGAUCCGUAGCUGGUCUGAGAGGACGACCAGCCACACUGGAACUGAGACACGGUCCAGACUCCUACGGGAGGCAGCAGUGGGAAUUUGGACAAUGGGCGCAAGCCUGAUCCAGCCAUGCCGCGUGAGUGAAGAAGGCCGUUCGGGUUAGUAAG
rnacentral:rRNA from 1 species